CGACGUCUCCUGCCGACCGGCGAUCCCGGUCCCCACCUGGCAUGGAAACAGAUCGUCAGGCAAGUUCAAGAACCUGUGGGCCACUCUGCGCAUUCUGUUGCAUAUAUAGCACGGUAGAAUGUACUUUGAGGUUGGAUUUUCAUUGGGCGCCAAAUACAUUAACUGUUGCAAUACAUUCCUGUAUAACAUUUAUGUCACACACAUGUAUAACAAGAUACAAGAACUGAAAGGUUUGGUUUUGACCUUUAAUUAAGCCAGUAAUUCUAUUCAAGCCGAAGGUAAAAGAAUAACACGACUAUGGUAGCCGGUUUAUACACACUUGUAUGUUCGUAAAAGAUACUAAUAAUGUGCGUGGCUCUGUUAAUGCGCGCGCGAGCAUGUUCUCGUACACAUUCGUGGGACCGAUUUGUAAAGGGCAACGGCCUCGUGUGGCCCCACCGAGUUCAUUUCCCCGUUCCUCUGUCUCAGCCGCCGCUUAUUACCGUAACCUUGCCCUUGCUCUUACAUUUCCGCCACACUCGAACCUCGCGGAUUGUCUUCCUGGUUCGCCUUGAAUGGCGCCUUCUGACGGGACGCAUUGUAAAUCGAACUUCGGUUCCACCGAGACUCAGGGAUUUCAAUACCGUCCAGAUUUGGUAAACCGAUAAAAAGCUAAUCAUCGAUGCCUGCUCAUUGGGUAAACAGAGAUAAAUUCCAUGAUAUUCGAGAAGCUUCUGCAACUUGAACGUUUCAGAAGAUUUUUAAGAGAUGUUUUAUUAGGAGAAAGGUAUGGUACAGUGAUACAACGGGAUGAAACAUAGUAUUCCUUUCGGUAUGCUUGUCAUUUAUUUCUCUACUUAUACGUGGAUACAAAUGUAUGAAAUAUAUAAAUAGUAUAAAUGUAAAAAAAAAAAAGAUAGGACACGCUUUAGAGUUUAUAUCUAACAUAAGUUUGAUUACGAGA